rnacentral:tRNA from 1 species
GUCCUUGUAGUGUAGUGGUCAUCACGUCUGCUUUACACGCAGAAGGUCCCUGGUUCAAUUCCAGGCAAGGACA